GAAUAUCGGUAUAUUCGGAUUCAGCUUGGAGCGGAGGACCUCUUUCGUUCCACUCUUUUGCGAACCCUUGCGUGGAAAAUCGAUGAUACUCGAAUCGAUGAAAUUCUUCCAAGCCUUAUUAUAUUUAGAAUUUGUUGAUUUCCUCUCGUUGAAAAAUUUGUUAACGCAUUGACAAAUUGAUUUAUAC